AGAGUUUGAUCCUGGCUCAGGAUGAACGCUGGCGGCGUGCUUAACACAUGCAAGUCGAACGAUGAUCCCAGCUUGCUGGGGGAUUAGUGGCGAACGGGUGAGUAACACGUGAGUAACCUGCCCUUAACUCUGGGAUAAGCCUGGGAAACUGGGUCUAAUACCGGAUAUGACUCCUCAUCGCAUGGUGGGGGGUGGAAAGCUUUAUUGUGGUUUUGGAUGGACUCGCGGCCUAUCAGCUUGUUGGUGAGGUAAUGGCUCACCAAGGCGACGACGGGUAGCCGGCCUGAGAGGGUGACCGGCCACACUGGGACUGAGACACGGCCCAGACUCCUACGGGAGGCAGCAGUGGGGAAUAUUGCACAAUGGGCGAAAGCCUGAUGCAGCGACGCCGCGUGAGGGAUGACGGCCUUCGGGUUGUAAACCUCUUUCAGUAGGGAAGAAGCGAAAGUGACGGUACCUGCAGAAGAAGCGCCGGCUAACUACGUGCCAGCAGCCGCGGUAAUACGUAGGGCGCAAGCGUUAUCCGGAAUUAUUGGGCGUAAAGAGCUCGUAGGCGGUUUGUCGCGUCUGCCGUGAAAGUCCGGGGCUCAACUCCGGAUCUGCGGUGGGUACGGGCAGACUAGAGUGAUGUAGGGGAGACUGGAAUUCCUGGUGUAGCGGUGAAAUGCGCAGAUAUCAGGAGGAACACCGAUGGCGAAGGCAGGUCUCUGGGCAUUAACUGACGCUGAGGAGCGAAAGCAUGGGGAGCGAACAGGAUUAAAUACCCUUGUAGUCC
rnacentral:rRNA from 1 species